GACGAACCGAGCGAACGUUGUUCGGAAUCACUGGGCUUAAAGGGCGCGUAGGCGGGCGGCUAAGUCUGUGGUGAAAUCCUCCAGCUCAACUGGAGAACUGCCAUGGAUACUGGUUGUCUCGAGGAAGGUAGGGGUAUGCGGAACUAUCGGUGGAGCGGUGAAAUGCGUUGAUAUCGAUAGGAACUCCGGUGGCGAAGGCGGCAUACUGGACCUUUUCUGACGCUGAGGCGCGAAAGCUAGGGGAGCAAACGGG
rnacentral:rRNA from 1 species